AAAGGAAAAAAAAAAACAACAUUGAUACAUUAUUCAUUAUUCAUGCCAGAGAAAGAGAGAGGCAGUGAUGGAGAAAAGAGAAGACAAGGCUUCUCCUUCAAGAGGAUGUUCCAGAUGCAGUACCCUGCAGGUGGUGAUUUGCUGAGACUCUGAAUAUAACUUCUCACACCAAAGAGUGGCAGCAUUUCCUUGUUAUCUAUUGUUUCUGGAGAUAGACCAACAAGGUGACACUCAAGCAGGAAUGGAGCACUGUCUCGAUACUGCGACGGUAACAAUAAGGAAACUGAGAAAUGAACGUGAAGAACUCAGGAUUCUCAGUAAAAACAGGAGGCAUAGGCACACCAACACAGCACAGGGAAUUUGAAUAGAGAAUACAUUUUAAGAGGGUUUUCUAUUAUUGUCAACUAAAUUUAGGAUGUUGAUCUGCUUUGCUCACAAAUAGUUAAUGAAACAGGGGCAUGCAACUUUACUUUUUACAAGAAAUUAAGAAGUAUAAGGGUUACAUAACGGAGGAAGGAAAUGAACAUCUGUGGCUUCAUGGUGCUUUUUACACAUAAGAAAAUUAUUUGGGGGAUUUGUUGCUUACAGACAUCUGCUUAGCAGUGAUGCCAGAGCCAGCCAGCCUCAUUAGCUUUGACAGAUGACCAAUACCACCUAAUAGCCUUGAUUCUGACAGACAGAUCAUUUGCUUCAGCCAUAUAAAAUCUAUCUAAAUAAUUGAUAAAAACAGACAUAUGUACAAAAUAAAAAAUUGAAACAGGCUUUUGAAUGCUGAAACUUAAACCCAUUUAGGUGUUGAAUUUGGCAUGGAACAAUGGUCACAAUUUAGACUUGCAGGAAAUAAGACCCAUGUGGCUUACCUUCCUGCUUUUGGGGCAUAAUCAGAUAAUCUUUUGCCUAUAUAGUUGGAAUGACCAAAGCAAUGACCACACAGGUGCUUGUUACUGCCUCAGUGCUGAAAAAGCAAGGAACUUCAAUAUGUAGUCAUCUUUUUUUAUAACCUGUUUGGAGUUGCCUAAUUUGUUCUGUCAUUAAGUUUUUAGUUUCAGUCUUGUAAAUGAAGUAGAUAUAUCAAGCAGUAACUAUGUUUAAUUUCUGCUAUCCACCCAUGAAUAAUAAGCUAUUCCCCAACAAUGAAAAUAUAAUGGAAGAACUAUGAAUUACAACUGAUUGUGGUUAAACUGAUUUUUAUUUCUCAGAAAUACCUUUUGAAAACACUUCAGAACUUGCACCCAUGAUUUAUUCAGUUGUGAUUCUGUUUUGCUGAUGCAUUUGCAUAUUUUCCUUCACGUUUAAUGAUUUAGUAUCAUGUUUUGUUGUUUUUUUUUUUUUCCAGUUUAAAUGAAUAACUGAAACUUGUUCAGUAUUUACAUUUCACUGCUGUAUACCUCAAAUCAUUUUACUGGUAUUCAAUCUAAUGAUGUAAUGUUAUGAGUUCUCACUUUCAUGAAUAUUAAUAGAAAUGGAAAAUGCUUCAAAUGAUCUACAAGUUUUCAAAAAUUAAAUAUUUGGAGAAAAACUCAUAAUGAAAGCAGCAUUUGCCUUGAAAUACCUACUCUUAGGAAGAAAUUGAUAAUAAUGUCAAAAAUAGACAUCAAGUGUGAGACUACAAUUUGAAUUAUACUCAUCAAUUAAAGUCCACGUCAGGUUCUAAAAGCUAA